GAACACAGCUUGGCCAGGUUUGAGUACCUUUUGCAUAGCUGAGGCUAUGUGGAAAGGAUGGAGUUAAGGGAAGAGAGGCAUCUACCUACAUUGAGAGACAGAGCUAAAUAAGUGUGCUUCGUUGGGUCUAGGCAUUUUCCCCAUCUCCAUUUACAAUAGGGUUUUACAGGAUUCUCUGGAGGUCCCAAAAGAUAGGGAAAUGUAUUUUGUUCUUCUCUAUACUGAAUAGCCCUAGCACAGUACCUGAAGCAUAGUAGGUGUAAUAAAAAUAGCUCCAUGUAUUAAGCACCAAUUAUGUGCCAAAUACUUUACUUUUUUAAAUGUUAACUUAUUUAUUUUGAGAGAGGAGGAUAGAGAGCAAGUGGGGGAGGGACAGAGAGGGAGAGAGGGGGAGAGAGAGAGAGAGAGAGAGAGAGAGAGAGAGAGAAUCCCAAGCAGGCUCUGCACUCUCUGCACAGAGUCCCAUGUGGGGUUUGAAUCCACGAACCAUGACCUGAGCCGAAACCAAGAGUCGGAUGCUUAACUGACUGAGCCACCCACAUGCCCCAUGUGCCAAAUACUUUAUAAAUAUUAUCUCUAUUCCUCAUAAAAAUCCUGUAGGGCAGGUACUAUUAUCCUUAUUUUAUUAAUAAGGAAACAAAGGCUCAAAGACAUAAAGUGUUUUACCUUAGGUCAUGUAGCUCGUAAAUAAAAGAGCCAAGAUUUGAAUCUAGGUCUGCAUAAGACCAAAACUUACUCUUUUCUUCUCACUACAGUAAGUGUUGAAUCGAGGCAAACCACAGUCUGCUUGACCAUCUCUGGAGUACUUCAGAGAAAGAAAAGAAUAGAAAGCCAGGGAGGAGGUGGAGCCUAGUUAAAUAUGCCAGGAGUUCCUUGUGUUGGUUCAGAGAAAAUGCAUUUAUAAUCAGUUCCUGCUACAUUUAUGAGGUUAGGUAGGGGUUGGGGACAUGAUAAGUGAAUCUAAGGCAGGAGCAUGGGAUAGAUCAUUGAAACCAGAUUCACAGCAUCAUUUCCAAACCAAAGGACAGGAGGAGAGACAGGUAAGUCCAUUUCUUUUACACAUUGACUACUCUCAGGUCUUUAUUAGGCUCUGGGGUUAGCUCUCAAACUUACCACUGGCAAGUAGUGUAAAAAAAUGUGUAAAAGGCCCUAGCAAGAAUGUUAAAGAGCUAGAUUUAUAGGAGGGAUUUAGUUAAGACAAAAUUUUCUAAGCAUAGAAACUGUGACAUAACUGGAUGUCCUCAUCUGCUCACUUUUCCCAUCCAAUCUUACUAGCAUGGUGAAGUACAAAAGGUGAAGGCUGUACAGCCAGUCAGAACUGGGUUCAAAUCCUGGCUCCACCAAUUAAUAGGCAUAUGACCUUAGUCAAGCCCUAAACUUUCUUGGGCUUCAGCUGUUACAUUUGUAACAUUUAACUAAUUAUAUUUUUACCUGCUUUUAGAUAUUUGGAAAGCUCUCAGCAUACUACCAUUCACUAAUAAGAACAAUAAAAACUGAGAAGGUUUUACUAAGUAUCAGGAACUCAUUUAAUUCUUCCCCUGAGUUAAAAUGAAGGAUAGAAGCUCAGAGAGAAGUAACUUGCCAAGACUUGAAAUCAAGCUUCCCAGAUGCAGUACUUUCCUGCCUGAUGAUAUCUGCCACAUUCAGACUCAGUUUCUCAGGACAAGAGGGGGUGUGGAAAGGGAGUUCCUCAAGAGGUAAUGGCCAGUUUAUUGGAGCAGGUAGGGAUUCUUUUUAUGCGAUGUGGAAAGGGGAAUGGUGUGAAGGGAGGAAGAGGGGAAAAGAACAUCUACUGAGUGCCUACCCUGGGCCAGGCAUGGUGCCUAGUGUCUCAUAUACAUGUAAUCUGCACAAAAACCUAGACAUGGAAUUAUUAUCCCUGCUUUACAGAUGAUACAGAUGGGCUAAGAGAGGUCAAGUGUUUUGUUCAUGGUCACAUGUGAGUUGGUGAGUGGCAGGGCUGGGACUUAAAGCCUAGUUUGCUUGACUCCAAAGCCAAAUUGUCCAGAGGCAAAGCACCAAAAUAGGAAAGUGCCCAAUUUUCACACAAGGUAAAGAAGUUGAUGUAGAAUUCAGUGAGUAUCUCUAAUACAUUUUAUGUGAAGUGACUUACAUAGUUUUAAAUUACAAAUAUUUGGAAAAUUCAAAAACAGGUACCAUUGUUCCAGGAGAUCCAGGGAAAACCAAGAGACUUACUAUCCUUCCCUAGACACCGUUGGGGAACUGAAGAGAGCCCAGUUUAACACCAAUGAGAGACGUUGUGAUAAAGUGAAAUACUGUGUCAAAAAUCUGAAGUCUAGCUCAUGGUCAAAAUACACAUCUCCGAAUUCUAGCUCUACUAUUAUCACUUGAGUGGCCCUGGAAACGCAGACUUUUUGAGCCCUGGUUUUCUUACCUGUUAAAUUGGAUAAUUAUUUUCUACCUAUGAGGUUCCUAGCAGCAUCAAGUGAAACAAUUUUGUGAGAAAGCAAUUGUAAACAGCAUCAUUACUCAUUUUUCUUCUCAUCUUUCCUCUGCUUCCAACAGACUAUGUAACCUCCCUGGUCCACAGUCUUAACUUUAAAGUGAGGUGAUGGGGGUGCCUGGGUGACUCAGUCGGUUAAGUGACCGCCUCUUGAUUUCGGCUCAGGUCAUGAUUUCACAGUUUGUGGGUUCCAGCCCUGUGUUGAGCUCUUUGCUGAGAGUGCAGAGCCUGCUUGGGAUUCUCUCUCUCCCUCUCUCUCUGCCACUCCCUAACUCAUGCUCUUUCUCUGUCUCACACACACACACACACACACACACACACACACACACACACACAAUAAAUAAACUUAAAAAAAAGAUUAACAAAAAAUAAAGUGAGGGGAUGAAAUUAGGAAACUGUUAAUGUCACUUCAUCAAGUCCAUAAAGUUAAUUUCUGAAUGAAUAAAACACCUUCACUUAGAAGCUUAGCCCUCUGGCUUCCUGCCUUUUAAGGCAGAUUUGAUAUUUUGGAUGAAGUACCUGACCAUUAAGGCCAGAAUUUCUGUAAUUUCCGGUAGCUCACCAUAGAUAGUACUGAGUUGUCACUGUAGUUUUAGCACCUGACUCAGGCCAGCCUCUUAAAUUUCAAAACACUGAACAUGUGAGCAAGUGCUGAGGCUCAGCUAGGUAUGUAAAUACUGUGAGAAAAUAGCAGAUCAGACACCAUGUGGUGUAGCUACUGUUGUACUGUUGGUGAAUAAGAAAGAAACUUUAUAAAGACAAUAGUUAACAGUAGUUAUACUAGAACUCACACUUAAAAAAAAAAUUUUUUUUUAAUGUUUAUUUCUGAGAGAGAGAGAGCGAGAGAGCAUGAGCGGGGGAGAAGCAGAGAGAGGGAGACACAGAAUCCGAAGCAGGCUCCAGGCUCCGAGCUGUCAGGACAGAGCCCGAUGCGGGGCUCAAACUCAUGAACUGUGAGAUCAUGACCUGAGCCAAAGUCAGAUGCUUAACUGACUGAGCCACCCAGGCACCCCGAGAACUCACACUUUUAAUGAUGAUGACACAGGUGAUAGAAGAAAAGGGAGGAUGUGCCUUGCACUGCAGCAUCAGGCCUGUAUGUCAGCCCCUUACCUCUGAGCCACACUCCAACAUGACUGACAGGACUCCACUUCUAAUUCUUUUGAGUCUUCCAAAGGAGAUCUAACAUUUGUUGAGUGCCUGCUAUGUACCAUGAGGUAAUUUUCCUAAAUGUCAUCUAAUUUGGACCUCACAAUAACUCUGUAAAAAUUAACCCCAGUUUACAGAUGAGGAAUCUGAGGCUCAGAGAUAUAAUGUAAUUUGUCCACACAGCUAAUACAUGACAGAGAUGGGGCUGGAUGCCAUGUCUCUCUUGGUGCAAAGCCCAGGCUCUUUCUACUGCACCAGAAAUCUUUUUCAAGAAUAUAUAAUCUGUAGGCUUUACUGAGGUUAGUUUGCUCUGCCUUCUUCACCUCUAUAAAUUGUGUAUAUUCUUCAAUACUCAGUUGAAUUAUCUUAUUUAAGAAGCCUUCCUUGAACUUCUGUGUUGGCCUAAAUAAUCUUUCUGAGAUGCACAAGAAUUCUUUUUUACUACCUUUACAGCACUUGUCACAUUCUAUUGUCUAUUUUCCCAGGUAGACCACGAAUACCUCAAUAGCAGGGACUGUCUUAACUAUCUUUCAUUCCCAGUCCCUAGAACAAAGCGGGGCAUAUAAGAGGUCUUCACUGAAUAAUUUUUUAGUGGUACUGAGCUCAAAAGAGCUCAAAAAGAGUAAAAAAAAAAACCCACUGCAGUAAAAUCUUUAAACCAUUACUAGCUGUGAAUUCAUAAGCACCAGAAUUAAAUAACUGCUUGAUAAGAAAAUCAUUUUCCCAGUCCGCUCAAUAUUGUUGUGUCUCUUGAAACAAAAAGCCAAUUCUAAAAGACUGAUGGAAUAUCAUAAAAUACAAACCUUGACUGCUGUUGAAAAUUCCAGAUGGGGGAAUCUGUGUUUUCAACCACGUGGGUGAAGACAGGAGAUGGCACAUCAGCUGUUGCAAAGGAUACACAGCAACUGGGUAUCAAUACUUUCCGCUCUGUCAAGGGGAUCCCUGAAGUGGAACACAGUAGAAUGACUGACUUUAGGGUGCCGGAAAGAAUGUGCUGGAAGCCUCCCAUUAUACAGGUAUAAGCAGGACCUAUCUUUGGGUCUUUGCUUGAGCUAUUCCCUAUAUCUGAAGUGUUUCCAGUAUCCUUUCUGCUAUUUAAACUGUCUUUUCAAGGCUCAGUUCAUAAAUAUUCCCCAGUGAAGAAUGACUUCUCCCAUCAACUCCAUACUUUGUGGGAUGAUGGAAAAUACUGGAUUGAGAGAAAAAAGUAGAACUGCAAAAAGCCCGAGACUUAAAAGUCAGAUGAUCAAUUAUCAGCUCUGCCAUAUACAUUCUGUGUGACUUUGAGCAAGGCUGAUCUAGGCUAUAGCUUCCUCAAAUGGGGCAUAUGAUACUUAUACCUCCUAAGUUGUUACAAGGAUUAAAAAUAAUAUUAGGUAACUUAUACACUACUUACUAUGUGCCUGGUACUUUCUAAUUACCAUACAUGUAUUAGCUCAUUUAGACUUUAUAACCUCACACAUAGGUUUUAUUAUUAUUCCCAUUAUAUAGAUAAAAAAACUGGGGUACAUAGAAAGUAAACAUUUUAAGUGGUCACAUGUUUAUUAAGUAAUAGAACUGAGAGUCAAAUUCAAGUAUUCUGGCUCUAGAGUCCAAGCUCUCAGCCAUUUUCUUCAUUGCCUCUACUAGAGUUAAGAAAUGUAAAACAUUGAGUACUGUGCUGGUGUUAAUUCUUACAAGAUCAGGUCUCCAGUGUGGGACACUCAGUCAUUUAUUCUCUCUUAAGACAAAGUAAAAUGGUUUUAUUUUCCUCCUUCCUAGGAGAAUAACAGCAUAUAAGGGUAAAUUUGAAUGAGGGGACUGUAAGGAGGCAAGGUGAAGGCUUUAAGGCCCUUCAUUUACAUUCAAAAUCCAAACACAGAAAUGACAAUGUGUAUUUUUCACAUUUUUCCAGGCUGUGUUCCAGCCCUUAUGAGGACCUACAGCAGAAGUUUUUCUUCAGUCAUCUCAGUUUACCCAAAAGAUGAUUCUCUGUUUUACAGAAGCUGACAAAUGUUGGUAGGAAAAUGUGAGGUCCACACAAGGAGGAUGAAUGUCCUGAAUUACAUUCAUUACAAAGUCAACCUUACAGUUGUGAUACGUAGAGAGCAGACUUUUCAUAUAAGAUCUCAAUAGGCUGCCUAAACCUACUUACCUAAACUGCUAUUCAAAGAAAUACAGUUGUUUGUGGAGGACACAAUUUAAGUUAGAAAAUGUAACAUUAAAAUUUUUAAUUUAUUUAUGAGGAAAAAAACAACAAAAAUGAAGACAGUUGGUGAUACUAGAUAGUCUAUAAAUGAACUAACAAGAUAACCACUAGCCACAGUGGCUAUUUAACUUUAAAUUAAAUUCAUGAAAAUAAAGAUGAAAAAUUCAGUUUCUCAGUUGCACUGGCCACAUUUCAAGCGCUCAAUUGCCACAUGUGGCUACUGGCCACCAUACUGGACAAUAAAGAUACAGAACAUCUCCAUCACAGUACAGAGUUCUUUUGGACAGUGCUGAGUAAUUGAGACUCUGUAUAAUAUAGAGUCUAUGUAUUCCACAAGAUCACUUUCAGCUCUGAAUCUCUGCUAUGAAUCUUAGGAUUACAGAUGAAGGAAAGAAAAAAGAAGAAGUGUGUCUU